CACAGCGGUGUUUGAAACACAAACACACUCCCACACAGAGAGGGAACCAAUGUCCUGCUGUCACAAACACACGCACGCACACACACACACACAAACAUACAUACACAUUUUAGAAUACUUAAAUAUAAGUAUUCUAAAGCUGUACAAUUUGUGUAAGGAACAGACUGAAAUUUAAGCCGUUAUUCACUGAAAUUCAGUUUCUCUGCUGCUUUAGAUUGGCUGACUGGAGUUGUAAGGUUGCCGUGCUGCUUCUGAUUGGCUGACUGGAGUUGUGAGAUUGCUGUGCUGCCUCUGAUUGGCUGACUGGAGUUGUAAGGUUGCCGUGCUGCUUCUGAUUGGCUGACUGGUGUUGUGAGGUUGCGUGCUGCCUCUGAUUGGCUGACUGGAGUUGUAAGGUUGCCGUGUUCCCUCUGAUUGGCUAAGUGGAGUUGUAAGGUUGCCGUGCUGCUUCUGAUUGGCUGACUGGAGUUGUAAGGUUGCCGUGUUCCCUCUGAUUGGCUAAGUGGAGUUGUAAGGUUGCCGUGUUCCCUCUGAUUGGCUAAGUGGAGUUGUAAGGUUGCCGUGUUCCCUCUGAUUGGCUAAGUGGAGUUGUAAGGUUGCCGUUUUCCAUCUGAUUGGCUGACAGGUGGUGUGAGGUUGCUGUGGCACUGCCAGGUUCUAGCCAACCGUGAGUGGCAGACCUCCAGUUCUGAGAGGAAACACCACACUGUGUGUGUGGG